AGGACAAUGCCGCCUGCCGGGUCGGGCCGUGCGGUCACGUUGGUAGGGCCUCUAUAUCUCGUGGCCUCGCCAAAUUCCGGCCACCGUCCGAUCGUCUUGACUGAUGCAUGCUCAAUCUUCUCCAUAUGGGCAAACACGUCGGCGUAUGUAGCGGCAGCGUGUGGUCCGCUCCGGUGUGCACAGACCAAUGUGCCCGGCGGUAGAGGCUCCGAAAGGAUGGCGGCGGCCAUGGGAAGGAAAGGGCGCAUGCGGCCGUAUCCCACGAGGGCAUAGCCCAUGACCAAGUCGGCGACCAAAUCGUUCAGUGACGGCCGCGGGCGGCACCAGGCGCCACGCGGCACCGACAGCGGCAGCCCCACCCGACCCUGGUCCAAGGGCGCAGGGAGGCGUGCAUAGCGACGCCUCGUGCUCGGCGUGUCGGGGUGCACGCACCGCCACGCGCGAUGGCACGGCAUUCCGUUGGCGUCCAGGUACUGGCUGACGUAAAUGCCGCGUAGGGGACCCUCGGUGGGGCACGUGGGCAGAUCGCGCGUGGGCUUGCUCACGCCGAGCGCCAUGAUCACCGACGCCAUCUCGGUGCUGGUCGCCAUAAACUGGGCCAACUCAUAGGUCGUCAGGAAAGAGCACAGGUAGGCCAGCACAUCGAGCGGUAACGUGGGCAGCGUGAGCGGACUCGGGGCUCCAUCGAUGGCCAUCUCUCUUUCGUCCUGCAUUUUUUUGUUUCGGUUCUUGACAAAAUGCGAGCGAC
rnacentral:lncRNA from 1 species